rnacentral:rRNA from 1 species
CGGGAAAAGCUCAAAUUUAAAAUCUGGCAGUCUUUGGCUGUCCGAGUUGUAAUUUGGAGAGGAUGCUUCGGGUGUGGCCCCGGUCUAAGUUCCUUGGAACAGGACGUCACAGAGGGUGAGAAUCCCGUACGUGCCCGGUGGCCGCCCCCGUGUGAAGCUCCUUCGAC